AGAAUACACAUAUAUGCCUUCUGCAAACAAAUAGACGAUAAGUAUUGGAGAUUGAAAAAGAUGUAAGCUACGCGAAAAACAAUCUAAAAUGAAAUCCAUCUGAACAAAGGGGAAAAUGUUUAGAAACAAAUCACUUUCUGGACAAAACAUACAGCUGAGAGGGUAUGAGAUGCCAAUUAUUGUUGUUUGUAGUAACCUUGCUGAUGUGGUGGAUACUGAUUCGGGAUGGUGUAAGGAGGUCGAGGAAUAGAUCCAGGUUGUGGAACAUGAGCGUUGUAGUAUGGCCCUUGCCACCCCGGAUAUGCUGGUUGACCAUACUCGUGGUUCGUUGAAGGUUGUUGAGGUGCCUGAGGAUGUGGUGGGUAGGGACUUGUACCCGGUGCAGGAGCAGGAGGCGAGUGGUAAGAAGGGGGUGGCUGUUGUGGGGAAUUGUACAUGGGAUGGGGUUGGGGAUGAGGUUGAGGAUGGGGCUGAGCAUAACCACCAACGGGCGACUGCUCAUGAGGUGGUUGGUAGUAGGAUUGAGGAGGGCGAACGUCAGAUUGUGGCGAAUGAGACCGUUGUGUGUGCGGUCCUACUGAAGGAUAGGUAUUGUUAUAGCCACCAGCUGAGUUUUUACUGUCCUGGAAACUGAGGCCAGCCAUUUGUCUUUGGACAUCUUCCAUCAUUUCACGGCACUGGAUGUUUCUCGUCAUCACGAAAUCACUGCAUUGCUGCUUCACAUUAGUGAUUGCAU
rnacentral:misc_RNA from 1 species